GUAGGGAAUAUUGGACAAUGGGGGCAACCCUGACCCAGCCAUGCCGCGUGAGUGAAGAAGGCCCUCGGGUUGUAAAGCUCUUUUGUCCGGAAAGAAAAGCAUUCGGUGAAUACCUGGAUGUUCUGACGGUACCGGCAGAAUAAGCACCGGCUAACUUCGUGCCAGCAGCCGCGGUAAUACGAAGGGUGCAAGCGUUACUCGGAAUUACUGGGCGUACAGCGUGCGAAGGUGGUUGUUUAAGUCUGAUGUGAAAGCCCUGGGCUCAACCUGGGAAUGGCAUUGGAAACUGGGCAGCUAGAGUGCGGUAGAGGGUAGUGGAAUUCCCGGUGUAGCAGUGAAAUGCGUAGAGAUCGGGAGGAACAUCUGUGGCGAAGGCGACUGCCUGAACCAGCACUGACACUGAGGCACGAAAGCGUGGGGAGCAAACA
rnacentral:rRNA from 1 species